UAACAGUAUUCAAUGAAAUACUCUCUGUACUACAACGUGCACUGUACAGAUUCAUAAAAGAUGAUGAAGGAUAAACAGAGUGAAAAAAAAUCCGAGUAUAAUUAAAAUACGUAUACCUAUUUUGAGCUCUUAGAUAAAUCAUCAAAGGAUGAUUUACAAACAGUUUCUAAAGUAAAAGGAUACGAUGUACUUCAAUGUUGUCCUCAGACGGGAAAAGGAAUAAUACUUGUCUUUGUAAAUUUAUUCCAGCUACAGUCGACGCUUUUAUAACGAUGCAAUCCAGGUAAUUCAACAUUCUGCGGUGUUAAAUAUAUUACAUAUUUGGAUUCUGUAUGCGAUUUGCUUGCAAACUAUGGACUACACUACAAAUUCUAUAAAGUUUUCAACAACCAUGAACUCGCCUAAUGAUGGUGCAAACGCAUGGUCAGUUGGGAUUGCCUCCCUUUUCGGACUGGUUGUUUUAUUCGUGGCUGGUGCGUGUAUUUUUAUGUAUAUUGUGUCCCGCUGUAGAACUUCCCUACAAAAACAAAAAUUAAGAAGUAUGUACGAGAAACUUACAGAUCAUCAGGAGGAUAUGGAAGAUGGCUAUUGCAGAUUAAAAGAUGUAUCAAGAAAAACGACAGAAAGUUGACAGACAAAUUUUUUUUGUUAUUCUAACAAUAAUGUGUAGUUUUAUAGUUUUGACAUUCAAUGAGCAUAGGGGGGAAACUUACAAAAUUGAUGUGAAUUAAUCCUUGGUGUACAUUUUGAAUGUUGUGUUGGGUUUUCGAGACCACACGUACAUUUCUAACGAAUAUGAUUCUUAAGGAAGGAAACUGAAAAAGACGAAUCAGCUCCAUGAUUUUGUAUAGCAUGUAUUUUAUUUAUCAUUGUUUAUCUCUAUGUUUAUUUAUAUAUCAAUUUAUUUCAUGUUUCGGUGUAUAUCAUAAAAAAUAUCAUAAACAAAUUAGAUGCAUACUUAAACAAUCAA